ACUCAUCUGCCGGUAUGUAAAAAAGCUUUGUUGUCUAUCCAAUUUGAUUUUGUCUCUUUUAUAAAGUUAAAGGGUAAAAUAAUUAACCCUUUGUGGGUUAUAAACAUUUGAAUGAAUUAUGGAUAAAAUUUGCUGCAUCUUUGACUUAGAAUACUUCCGCGGAAGCAAACUGGUGUGUGAGCUGGGAUGGAUUAACAUGAACAACGGCAAGUCCGGAAGCAUUCAAUUCAUACGGAAGAGCAACCAACGGUCCUUACAAUACGGGGAAAAUUGUAAUCACAGUACAAUGGAUAUUGGGGACUUGUCUUUUGAACAGAUAAUGGCAGAACCCUCCAUGUUGGGGCAGUUACUGCGUAACAAGUUAUUUUUUAUUUAUGAAUCUUGCAGAACUCCCACCAAAAAUGUGAUUGCUUACAGGGGAGGAGGUGUUGAAAAAGCUAUUGUGGCACCUCUAACAGCUCCGUAUAUCAAUUUUGAACUUUACAAUUGCCCUAUGAUAGACCAGAUUAGCAGGAUAAGCUACCCAACAUGUGGUUACCACAGGUUUAGACAUCUGUGCUGCCCUCUUGCUGAAGUUCAUGCUUUCAGAACUUGGUUGAUAAAUCGGCUGUAAUUAGGAAUGAAAGCAAAAAGGAAAAGAAGAAAAUCUGGCAGUAAAACCAUUUCAGUAAGUGAAUUUUAACCCCGAUCGUGGGUAUACGGGAAGAACCGGGUCGACUCGUCGCUGCGACAGUUGCUUUUUUUUUACGGAAUCGCCCCCCUCCCUCAGGAGAGGAGGGGCGAUUCUGUAAAAAAAGAACAUUUCAGUAAAUAUUUUUUUUAAAACUAAUGAACAGAAAGAAGCAGUUUCUCACAUAUGCUAUAAUUUUUAAAAUAUCUUGGUAGUUACAGUUAUUUGUUUUUCUAGAAAAAAAUGUCUUUUGUGCCAAUUUUUACUCUUUUCCGUCUUGAUGUAUAUAGUCUUUCAGCCUUGUUCUGUAAUAAGUCAAUAAAAGUUUUAAAUGUUGCGCAUGCA
rnacentral:misc_RNA from 1 species